AGGAAAUACAUCCAGGGUCACAUUAUUGAAUAUGUCCUCUGAAAACACAUGGACAACAUCAAUGUGAUAAGAGAAUUCCUCCCAGAGGCAUAUCUGCUUGGCUUGUGAGAUCCCCAAACCUGACCAUGCGUGUAAUUCUUUUCUUGUGGGUACAUGCAAAAGAUCGUGUUUAUGUUCCACCACUACCCACUAGCCUCGAUGACUUUAAACAUCGAAUAACAACAGUGAUCAACUCAGUGGAUCAUGAUAUGCAGUGGAAUGGCAUUCCGUCCAAGUGCGGAAUUUAUACAACAUGGAAACCAGGUACUCAGCACUUGUCUCAAGAAGAGAUAUCACCAUGGUGUGACGGAUAUGUUUAUCUCAAGAUUGCUCACAUGACAAUGAGUCUUUAAUAACAC